AGAAGGAGGGGAACUGGAUUUUUUUCUCCAUUCACGAACACCUUCCAUGCACACAACAGAUUCACCUCACCAUCACAUACGUACUCCAUUAUUUUUCUUGGUAACAGCAAGCACACCACCCACGCACAUACGCACAGCUUUACACUCCACCACACACGACAUCACACACACAUCAUCGAUUGAGGAAGAGAUCAAGAGGGGUAAUAAUAGAGAAAGCAGUGAGUGAGAGAGAAGGGUGAGAGGUCUUUCUUUUUUCGGCAAGCUCUCGCCGAAAAAUACUAUAGCCGUCGAUUUCCUCCUAAUGGUUGUUACUGUUGAGUUUUACGGAGCUUUGGUGUAGCGAAAACAGGACUUCCAGCCUUAUUUUAUCCAAAUCCACAUAAAAAAUAGUUACUCC
rnacentral:lncRNA from 1 species